UCUCAGAACAAUAUCUUUUGGAGAUUCAAUAAAAAGAUUGAAAGAAAAAGAUUGCUCUGACAGAAAAAAAGAAUAAAUGGUUCAUUUAUGGCACCUUUUAAAAUCUGUUUUCAGAAAUUGCAUAUGCAAUAGAAAUUUCGAAGUACUGUCCCAAACCAGAAGAGGUUUGCUCCACUAAUAGCAGAAGUAUGUUGGAAUUCUGUGAGUCAGGAUGGCUUGAAGAGAAGAAUUCCAUGACAAACCAGGAGCUUCUUUCUGCUGAAAGACAUCAGUUGGACAAAGUAAUUAAUCCUUCCGUGUCACCACAGACUCAAAGGCAGUGCUUUGCCCUGCACGUGAGUGCUGCACCAUCUGCCAAAAUUCACAGUACAAAUACAUCUGUGGAAGAGCUCACUGGAGGAAGCAUAAGAAAGAGUAAGGUAGAAGAAGCCAUUUAUUCCUUAAACCAAGAAAAGAAACCCACCAAAACAUCUGAAUCAAUCAGCUGUAAAGAUGUGUCUUCUAAACGAGACAACUCAUCCAGUAGUCAAAAGCCUGCAUCACUUGCACUUGCUACAAAAUGGGACAAUGAUGAUUCUGAUCUGAGCAACUUUAUCAUGCUGAGAUCUAAACACACACUCACCCACAGAGAAGAAGAAAAUGAUAUAAAUAGUCCUAGAAAAGGUAUGUGAACCAGAUUAGCAUGCCAUUUUCCAGGUUUAAAUCUGGUCUCUUAUUCCAGUUACAAUAAAUGCUAGCUCCUCUAAGUAGAUCUAUGGG
rnacentral:lncRNA from 1 species